rnacentral:lncRNA from 10 species
AACAACCAUAAUAAAAGUCCAAUUGCACAUCUGUAAGUAACGUGCCAACAUGCACUGCGGUUUGUCGGUCUUACCCCUCUGGUCCUCUGAACAACACAGGGCUUUUGUAUGACAUGAUCUCAGUCCUGGGUGAAGGUGGAAAGGGAUUGCUCCCUGCAGCUCUGUCAAUUUCUCCUUUCCUGGUUUCCAACAAGCCCAUCUCUUUCCCUCCUGCUUCCGGUGCAAGGGUAGGCAAACUUUUUCUGAAAGGAGCCAGA